GACGAACCGUGCGAACGUUGUUCGGAAUCACUGGGCUUAAAGGGCGCGUAGGCGGGCAGCCAAGUCCGGGGUGAAAUCCUUCGGCUUAACCGGAGAAUUGCCUGGGAUACUGGCUGUCUUGAGGGAGGUAGGGGCACGCGGAACUUCCGGUGGAGCGGUGAAAUGCGUUGAUAUCGGAAGGAACGCCGGUGGCGAAAGCGGCUUCCUGGUCCAGCACCGACGUUCAGGCACGAAAGCGUGGGGAGCAAACAGG
rnacentral:rRNA from 1 species